UUAGCGUUAACCUCCCCGUACCCACCUCCAUCUCUACCCACCUCCAUCUCUUUUUGCGCUGUCAAUGCUCGGUCACGAAGGGUGAAACCUCCCUUCACUAAAACAAAUCCGGAGACACAAUCAGCAGCCAAGGUUCCCAUCGCCGCCGCCGCUCCCUCGCCCUCGGCCGCCUGCCCUUGCUCCUCCUCCAAGCUUGCCUCCCUCGCCAAUUUCACGGCUCCUCGGGGAUGCACACUGUGUACGUCUCCCAUCCUCCUGCAUCGGGGAAAGCAUCGCUCCCGCCGUUCCUCCGGCCGAUCGUAGAUGCAGACGUCGCCGCCGUUCUUCCGCGCGACCGGGGAUGCAGAUGCCGUCGUUGUUCGUCCGCAUAGCCAAGGACGAUGCAAGUACUGACGGACCCCUCCUCCUCAACUGCAGGAGUUCAGCAGGUGGCUCUUUCAAAUUAUAAGUGGAUAUAGAAUGAGGUAUCCUGAUCUUUUAGUUUUGGUUCUUUCAAUUGUUUUCCUCUUACCUCUAAUGAAUUUAUUUAUCAUAUAUAUCCUUUUGUUUCCUGACUGAAUCACAUGUGGACCAGUAUGCACUCGCCUCAUUGCAUUACUAUUUAUAAUAGGGAGAUAUUGUGCCUUCUGCAUUAUAACAAAUGAAUGCAUGGCAUGUGUGUUUGGCUCAGCUACCUUGGAUUGUGUACGUGAUAUUUUUGGAAAUGUGUUGUGUAAUACACAAAUACUUAAGUAUGGAUUAUUUCUACGCCCAGCACAAGCGACCACUUCUCAACUUUGUUUUAUUUUCACAAUUUUUGUUUAGUGAGUAACUACUCCAUAUUUGGUAACUUGAGUGUCCGCUUCUGACAACUGGAUAUUAGAUGUCUCAUUGUGCCCACACUCCCGAUCAUUCUACCAAUCAGGUAUGCCUAAUCUUUCUCUGAAAUGACUACACGGCUGUGUCCAUGGAGCCAUGUGUGACUCUCAUGUGCGAGGUAAUAAAAUACAUCUCUGCAAGUAAUGGCUAACUAACGAUACCAUUGAUCUCACAUGCUAUUUGGAUGUUAUGUGUGUCACGUGUCUUGGUUUGAGUACCCAGUAUUACAUAGGCACUACCUUGGUUCUCGGAAAUAGUUUAGAUAUAUCCUCGUAUGCUUAAAUUUGGCUAGAGUUUAAAUGAAAUCUCUUAGCUAUAAGAUAACAUAGUAUACAGAGUGUUCUAAACUACAGAUGGGGUGAUGAUCUAGUUUUUUUCUUUCUUUGUGCUUUCAGUUUGGUUGCCUCUCGCCAAGUUUUAUUGGAGAGAACAUGUGACCAUGAGUUGAUAACUCCAACCAUCCCAAAUUUGAAGAUGCUCUUUUUUCUGUUGUUGCUUUUUUCAGGUUCUGAGAAUCUUAUUCAUGGAUCAGGAAAAUAUAAUUUGUGACUUUGUAGUUCUUAGGUAACUACAAAGUUUUGCAUGAUGUACAUUAUUUAAGGAUUUUUCAAGUUGUUCGCACUGAGAUUUUCUCCUAAUACAACAUAGCAAGCAUGGCUAACGAAUCAUCCCAAGCUGAGUACUACAUGAGUAAUGUGACGCAAAGCUGAUUAGUGCAGAGAUCUCUAGAAAAUGGCGAUGUUCAACAUUUUAGUAGUCAGUACUAUUGGUUACGUACUUGUCAUUAGCUAGUUGCUGAAUUCAUCCACUGUUAUUAUAAUAUAAUGUUUGGAUACUUUUCAGUAGCAAAGACAAGCUGAUAGUUUUCACAAUGAACAUCCACAUCCAAUAGAUCAAAGGUGCUUGGUAUUUUGCUUUUCAAAGGUGAAAAAAAUAAAAUUAGUACACGAAUAUAGGUUGCAUAUAAUCUGCAAUGUUUUUUUAAUAAAUUCAUGUUAAAGAAGUUUUUCUAUUCAGAUUGUUAAUUACCCAUUUAAAUUUUACUUCUAUUAGGCUGAUUUUCUCUACUAGAAGUUACUCAUCUCAUAUUGUUGUUGUAACCAAGAUAAAUUUACGACACAUGUCUCAGAUGUUAGUUGCAAGGUUAAGAAUGGAGCUACUACUACAAGAUAAUUAGAGUGCCAUUUUAGGAGCAAUGCUUCAAACAUUAUAGUUGAUUGCAAGGUCAAGAACUACUAGAUAUAGUUUCACCUCAUGUAAUCGUUGGAUCAUGUUCUUUGUAAUGCAACAUAGUCUAUUUAAUAUAUGAGAUUUGUAAUCUUUGGAUCAUGUUCUUUGUUAUGCAACUUAUUCGAUUAAAUA